rnacentral:rRNA from 1 species
AGAGUUUGAUCAUGGCUCAGAUUGAACGCUGGCGGCAGGCCUAACACAUGCAAGUCGAGCGGUAGAGAGAAGCUUGCUUCUCUUGAGAGCGGCGGACGGGUGAGUAAUGCCUAGGAAUCUGCCUGGUAGUGGGGGAUAACGUUCGGAAACGGACGCUAAUACCGCAUACGUCCUACGGGAGAAAGCAGGGGACCUUCGGGCCUUGCGCUAUCAGAUGAGCCUAGGUCGGAUUAGCUAGUUGGUGAGGUAAUGGCUCACCAAGGCGACGAUCCGUAACUGGUCUGAGAGGAUGAUCAGUCACACUGGAACUGAGACACGGUCCAGACUCCUACGGGAGGCAGCAGUGGGGAAUAUUGCACAAUGGGCGCAAGCCUGAUGCAGCCAUGCCGCGUGUAUGAAGAAGGCCUUCGGGUUGUAAAGUACUUUCAGCGGGGAUGAAGGGAGUAAAGUUAAUACCUUUGCUCAUUGACGUUACCCGCAGAAGAAGCACCGGCUAACUCCGUGCCAGCAGCCGCGGUAAU